GUGAAAUACGACACAAAAACAAUACAGCUCACGUGCACAUCAAGAACACCCCUCACCUAAUCCUUCAAUGCAGCAAGCUCAGCAGUGGAUCAGCACGUCGGCCAGCGGCUGCAGUUUCUCUCUCUGCGACAGGGAGGAAACUGAGUUGGACGUGUCGUUCACACGUCGCCGUCAGUCCCCAUCAGGAGCCAUGUUGCACAGGUGUCCCUCCACGGUGACACACACGUGGCCCGUCCCGCCGCCGCCGCCACAGAAGACCCCGGAUGUGUCAUCGGCUCCCUUCGCUGCUUCUCGGAGCCGCGUUCAGGGACAUCCAGUGCGAAAACGAGGGAAAGUCGGCCGACAUGUUAUCAUGAACGCGGCCGCCGGUGAACAAUGGCGCGUCAGAGCACGUGACCGCGUCCGUGAGAUGGAUACUGCAGAUGAGCAGAAAGGAGUGGCAGGUUGUGAGUGUAUGUGUGUGUAUAUAUAUAUAUAUGAGGGGUGGGGGAUAU